UACGAAGGGUGCAAGCGUUACUCGGAAUUACUGGGCGUAAAGCGUGCGUAGGCGGUUUUUUAAGUCCGUUGUGAAAGCCCUGGGCUCAACCUGGGAAUGGCAGUGGAUACUGGAAAGCUAGAGUGCGGUAGAGGGUAGUGGAAUUCCCGGUGUAGCAGUGAAAUGCGUAGAGAUCGGGAGGAACACCAGUGGCGAAGGCGGCUACCUGGACCAGCACUGACACUGAGGUGCGAAAGCGUGGGUAGCAAACAGG
rnacentral:rRNA from 1 species